AUACGUAGGGGGCGAGCGUUGUCCGGAAUGAUUGGGCGUAAAGGGCGCGUAGGCGGCCUGUUAAGUCUGGAGUGAAAGUCCUGUUUUCAAGAUGGGAAUUGCUUUGGAUACUGAUGGGCUUGAGUGCAGGAGAGGUUAUCGGAAUUCCCGGUGUAGCGGCGAAAUGCGUAGAGAUCGGGAGGAACACCAGUGGCGAAGGCGGGUAACUGGACUGCAACUGACGCUGAGGCGCGAAAGUGUGGGGAGCAAACAGGAUUAGAUACCCUGGUAGUCCACACUGUAAACGAUGAAUGCUAGGUGUAAGAGGUAUCGACCCCUUUUGUGCCGGAGUCAACACAAUAAGCAUUCCGCCUGGGGAGUACGGCCGCAAGGUUGAAACUCAAAUGAAUUGACGGGG
rnacentral:rRNA from 1 species